CCUACGGGGAGCAGCAGUGGGGAAUAUUGGACAAUGGGCGAAAGCCUGAUCCAGCCAUGCCGCGUGUGUGAAGAAGGCCUUCGGGUUGUAAAGCACUUUCAGUGGGGAAGAAAGCCUUGGGGCUAAUACCCUCGAGGAAGGACAUCACCCACAGAAGAAGCACCGGCUAACUCCGUGCCAGCAGCCGCGGUAAUACGGAGGGUGCGAGCGUUAAUCGGAAUUACUGGGCGUAAAGCGCGCGUAGGCGGUCUGAUAAGCCGGUUGUGAAAGCCCCGGGCUCAACCUGGGAACGGCAUCCGGAGCUGUCAGGCUAGAGUGCAGGAGAGGAAGGUAGAAUUCCCGGUGUAGCGGUGAAAUGCGUAGAGAUCGGGAGGAAUACCAGUGGCGAAGGCGGCCUUCUGGACUGACACUGACGCUGAGGUGCGAAAGCGUGGGUAGCAAACAGGAUUAGAUACCCGGGUAGUC
rnacentral:rRNA from 1 species